AACAAAAGCCCACCCCAACCCCCUAAUCUUACAAACCGAAGCAGAAGUAGACGCAGCAUUAGAAUCAUAACAGAGAUAGAGCAAGAAACAAGAAGAAGAACAAGAACACAAUCAACGUACCAUCAACUGAAGCAUUGGUCACCAUCAUCUCUCUGUAUUUUUUUUCUCAUCUCCGGUCGUGAUCUUUGAUUGUUCUCCCUCCGAAUGGAUUGCAAUAUUCGUGUAGUGCAUGGCAAGGGGAUUUUGGAAUCAUUGCCAUCGCCGACCCAAAACCUUACAACCAAUUCUACAUCGACUUCCGCGUAGGGUUCACAUGUCCACCAUCCGAUGAUGAUGAUGAUGAUUCGGACGAUGAUGAUUAUGAUUCGGAGGAUGAUGAUCGCUACGAAUACAACACACGGUCUAUGCAAUUUUGGGUUCCAUGCGACCGAUUGACAUGUCACAACAACAAUUGGUCCACAAUAUCAGAUAUGCUCUAUCACAUAGGUGUCCCCCUACAUGUUCAGCCUUUCGUGAUUCCUGGUAUCAUUCAAUCUGCCAAAUUAAUGGUGAAACAAAAUCUCCGAAAAAACGUACCGGUACUACCCACGAUAGUGUCUAUAGAUGCAGUGGGUUGUGCAGAAGACGAAGAAGAAGAAGAAGGUGCAGAUACAAUGGUGCCAAUGGAGUUGAGGCGAGUGCCGGCCUGUGAGGCAUCAGUUGAGGCCUUAGAGAGGGUGAAAGUCGAAAAUUCGGGUACUAGGAUGAAGUGUGUGAUAUGCUUGGAACAGCUCUUGGUUGGUUCGGAGGCAACCCGGAUGUCUUGCUUCCAUCAUUUUCAUACAGACUGCAUUGUUCGAUGGCUUGGAGUUUGUAACUUCUGUCCACUGUGCCGCUUUCAGUUGCCCACUUGAAGUAUAACUUUUGAGAUUAGUAACUUUUGAGAUUAGCCUGAUAUUAUAAAAGUUAAGUGUUAUUAUCUGUAUUGAUCAAUUCAUUGUUAUUGUUUGAGAAAUUCAGAAAUUUUAUUUUUUGGGCUAGCUAUUGAUCUGUUUAUUUAUUUAUUCACUUUUUCGGUUAAGGUACACAUUUAUUUAUAUUUAUUUACUUGUUCAACUAGAUAUAAAUGUUACUGGUAUAAAGUUUGUGGCAAUAAAUGUUAUCAUGUUCACGGUGAUGAUUAUAUGGUUUAGUCUCCAAGUAGCAGAUUAUAUCUCUAUUGGAAAGGGACAUGACGAAAUAAAAACAUAUGAAUUUGAUCUUUGGAGAGGCUCCAUUGGGUAUAUUUCAGGUUCACUCAUAAAUCUUGUUUUUUUUUUUUUUGGGUAUGAAUCUUGGUUUUGUAUAUAUAACUUUUGGCUGGCCUAGGAUAAUUCCCAUGUACAGGACUGGGAUCUUCACUCAAUUGCAGACAUACCAUAGAGUUCUUGAAGGUAGAUGGAAUAGGAAUAUAGAUUUAUUAUUUACUGGAUUUGCUCUUGCUCUUGAUUUGAAUUUAUACAUUCACAACUGACUUUAUUUUUUUUUGUAGUUUGUGUACAGCCUUCAGCUAAUAGUUUCUAAUGCCUCUGCACUUAUUCUUGUGUUGCUUUGGCUAGGUGUUCUCAUUUUGAUUUUGCUAGGACUUUGCCUCUUGCUCGGUUCCUAGUUUUUGUAUGGCCAUGUGCCUUGUUUGUACAGUUUUCUCUUUUAUAUAUACAAUCACCCUUUACGCAAAAUAUAAAAUAAAAUAAAAUAAAACUUUUGGGUGAUCAUAGUCAUUUCCUGUUAUUCAUGUAAGUAGUUUUGAUUAAUUAAUUUAAUAAUCAUGUUUAAGUUCAAAAUUUUUAGGUUCUUAUAUAUGUGUCUGUGCAGAUGUUGAAACUUGAGUUGAUCAUGUUUCAUUACAAAAUUUUAGGGCUUAUAGCAAUGUGAUUAUACAGUUUGAUUUGGUGUUUUCAUGGCUAGUAAUUUUAUAAUUUGUAAUUAUUGCAGGUUUUGGGAAUUUAUUGAAUAAUUUUGUACGUUGAGCUGUUCUAUCAAAAGGGUUAAGAUGGUGUCGGUGUUAGCCCUAGGGGAUCUUCACAUACCCCACAGGGCACCUGAUCUGCCAGCAAAGUUCAAGUCUAUGCUUGUUCCUGGGAAGAUCCAGCACUUCAUUUGCACUGGAUAUCUAUGCAUCAAAAGCCAAAGUAGAAGAAAUCAAGAAAACCGCACAAAGCAAAAUAUGCCUUGUACAACUGGAACACUGGGCAAUGCAUGUGUGGCUCAACAGAUAAAAAAUUAGGGAGAGCGCUAACCUGUGCAGAACUAUAUUGCAAGACACAGGUUCACAAAGUUGGCACACCUAGUGAUGAAGGUUUCUGAAUAAGUUAUAGUUUUGGAAGUGACGGAGCAGAUGACACCCUUUAUAUGCUAGGGGCGUAGUUAGGGAAUUAGUUGGCAUCUUGUAAUCCAUGCUAUCAUUUGUAAAAGUUUUGGGUAUAAACAUGUAAUAUUUUAUAAUCGUUUUGACGUUAAUGUAGAUGUAUUAUUUCGGUUGUGUAUAUUUGUUUAAAUCACCUCAUUUGGUCACAAAGAUGUAGCCGGAUUUAAUUUUGAUGAA